AAAAAGGGUCAGUUGGCUAUACAUGCCACACUCACUUUCAUAUAGUGGGUGCUAUACAUUUAUCAAGACAUAUGGCUAACAUAAUUUGUGGAAUUAGAUGAAGUUGGCUGCUCGCCAAACCCAGCCUACAA